UUUCUUACGGGAGGCAGCAGUGGGGAAUAUUGGACAAUGGGGGCAAGCCUGAUCCAGCCAUACCGCGUGGGUGAAGAAGGCCUUCGGGUUGUAAAGCCCUUUUGUUGGGAAAGAAAUCCAGUUGGCUAAUACCCGGUUGGGAUGACGGUACCNCACAGAAUA
rnacentral:rRNA from 1 species